UGCUAAUUAUGGUGCUGAUAAAGAAUGGU
rnacentral:piRNA from 1 species